AUAUUCGACAAUGGGGGAAACCCUGAUCGAGCAAUGCCGCGUGAGUGAUGAAGGUCUNNNGACUGNAAAACUCUGUUAUAGAGNAAGNACAACCAUUAUAGGUAAUGAUGAUGGUCUGACGGUACUCUAUCAGAAAGCCCCGGCUAACUACGUGCCAGCAGCCGCGGUAAUACGUAGGGGCCAAGCGUUGUCCGGAGUUACUGGGCGUAAAGGGCGCGCAGGCGGUUGGUUACGUCGUGUGUGAAAGCCCCCGGCUCAACCGGGGAGGGUCGCGCGAAACGGGCCGACUGGAGGCAAGGCGAGGGCGGUGGAAUUCCCGGUGUAGUGGUGAAAUGCGUAGAGAUCGGGAGGAACACCAGAGGCGAAGGCGGCCGCCUGGACUUGACCUGACGCUGAGGCGCGAAGGCGUGGGGAGCGAACGGG
rnacentral:rRNA from 1 species